UGGGGAAUUUUCCGCAAUGGGCGAAAGCCUGACGGAGCAACGCCGCGUGAGGGAUGAAGGCCUCUGGGCUGUAAACCUCUUUUAUCAAGGAAGACGAUCUGACGGUACUUGAUGCAUAAGCCACGGCUAAUUCCGUGCCAGCAGCCGCGGUAAUACGGGAGUGGCAAGCGUUAUCCGGAAUUAUUGGGCGCACAGCGUCCGAAGGUGGUUGUUCAAGUCUGCUGUUUACGCGUGCGGCUUAACAGCAUG
rnacentral:rRNA from 1 species